AUUGAACGCUGGCGGCAUGCCUUACACAUGCAAGUCGAACGGUAACAGGUCUUCGGAUGCUGACGAGUGGCGAACGGGUGAGUAAUACAUCGGAACGUGCCUAGUAGUGGGGGAUAACUACUCGAAAGAGUGGCUAAUACCGCAUGAGAUCUACGGAUGAAAGCAGGGGAUCGCAAGACCUUGUGCUACUAGAGCGGCCGAUGGCAGAUUAGGUAGUUGGUGGGAUAAAAGCUUACCAAGCCGACGAUCUGUAGCGGGUCUGAGAGGACGAUCAGCCACACUGGGACUGAGACACGGCCCAGACUCCUACGGGAGGGAGCAGUGGGGAAUUUUGGACAAUGGGCGCAAGCCUGAUCCAGCAAUGCCGCGUGCAGGAUGAAGGCCUUCGGGUUGUAAACUGCUUUUGUACGGAACGAAAAGCCCCGGGUUAAUACCCUGGGGUCAUGACGGUACCGUAAGAAUAAGCACCGGCUAACUACGUGCCAGCAGCCGCCGUAA
rnacentral:rRNA from 1 species